GUGCAGUGAGGUGUGUAUCUGCGGACGUGCAGUGAGGCGUGUGUCUGUGGACGUGCAGGGAGGUGUGUGUCUGUGGACGUGCAGUGAGGCGUGUGUCUGUGGACGUGCAGGGAGGUGUGUGUCUGUGGACAUGCAGUGAGGCGUGUGUCUGUGGACGUGCAGGGAGGUGUGUGUCUGUGGACAUGCAGUGAGGUGUGUGUCUGUGGACGUGCAGUGAGGCGUGUGUCUGUGGACGUGCAGUGAGGUGUGUGUCUGUGGACGUGCAGUGAGGUGUGUGUCUGUGGACAUGCAUUUGCAUUAAUGAGGUGUGCUGUCGCCCUACAUCUUAUGAUUCCAGUGAGAGGCAACCCCACUGUGUCAGUCUUUCAGGAUCAAAACAUUCAAGUUACCUUUGCUUCACUCCCAUUCUUUAUUCUGUGUAUCCAGUCUCUCAUCAAGUCUGUCAUUUGGAAAUAACUUUUGGAUUCGUUCUUUCCUCCACAUCCAAUGCACAUGGCACUGACCUCGGCCAGGCCUUAGUCCCCUCAUAUCUAAGUUCCUGCAACGAUUCCUGGCUGGCUCUCCGCUCACGGGCAUUCUCUGUGUCACUACCCAGUUAAUCUGCUGCAUUCCCCCAUUCCCUGGCUUAACAACUCCCUUUCCCACCAAAUAAACCUCAGACUUCUUCCUUAGAAUUUACAGCUCAAGCAGAAGUAAUUUCUCCUUCUUAUGUAUCUCACCCCCCGCUCCCUUUGAGCCCUGCUUCAUGGGUGCCUCUCCUGGUGAACUUAUCACCUUAGACUUUGUAAAGCUAUUCACAUACAUGUCUUAAGCCAGUGCUAAAUGUACUGCAAUUAAGGGAAGAAUCCACAUCCAGUCCAUUUCUAUAUCGCUAAGGUGUCUGACAGAGUUUCUAAGUGAAUGAUAAACAGCUGACAGUUGUGGCUUGCUUCUCUGCCUGACACACGGUAGACGCACUUGAUG
rnacentral:lncRNA from 1 species